rnacentral:lncRNA from 1 species
UUUUCAAAUACUCAGGGCAGAGAUAAACCACGAUCAUUUGCACAAGGACAGGACUCUUUGAACUAGGGAAAUGCAAACUGGCAACUCAACGGCAAACCGUUAGCAUUACAAGCGGCCAAUUUUAAAAGGUCAAUAUACCAAACUAACGGUAUUCAUCAAAGCAGCAACAUAUAAUCCUAACGUUUCAUUUAUAAAGUGCGCCGUGUGUGAUGGCAACAAAACCCAGGAGCCGAGGGAGGACGAGCCGAGCUGACGUAGUUGGGGGGAGAGACCCGCUCCCAGGAAGACUCUCGCCAGGAUGGGUCUGGAACCACCGCUGCUGAACUUCAUGUGCAAGGGCAGCUGGCAGGUGCGUUUUAGGGGACGCGGUGCCGUAAAGCCGCCCUAAUCACGCACCAUGGCCCGGGGCCGACGCUGACAAGUAGGUCUGCGGGGUCAGGACCCGAAGGCCAGAGACAGAAUCACACAUUUGUGGGAAUUUUACAAACGAUGACGCUUGCAUCUCACACCCCGGAGGACCAGUGAGUGACGCGGUGUCUGCGGCCGUGCCUCUGAGCCGGGGGACGUCACCCCGCUCUGCCUUCCACGGAGCCCAGCGAGGCGUGGGCGGCUCCCACCUUGGUUGUGUGUUUGCCUCUUUGUUGAGUGAGAGGAGCCUGGACCUUCCGAAAGGGGCGGAGGAGGCGCUGGGAGCGGACACACCACUUGGCUGAGGAGGGAAGCCCACGGGAGGGGACGCACUGAGGGUACGGGCUGGUCACCAUGGUCAGAGGACAGCAUUGGCCACGCCGCCUAGCCCCCCUGUGCAUUUCCAGGGACAAAAGCAGGACUUGGUGGCCAGGGACUUGUGACCAGCAAGGAGGCGGAGCUCUGCACUAGGUCCAGAAGCCUGAUGCACGCGGAGCCUGGAGAACCACUCCUCAGCGGGGUCCUGGGCCCGUCCACACCUGCACCCACUUCCGCCAACUGUCUCCCCAGCCCGUGUCUGCUGCCAACGUCUCCAGAGACCCUGGGCCUCUGUGUCUCGGCCACCUCUGGACUGGGAUGUGGGGUGUCCAGUACUGACCCUUCUGAGACCUGGAGGAGUGAUGAGACUGGGGCUCUAACAGGUGUGACCCCAGGACGCACAGAGCUCACCUGCUGGACCCCAGGCCAGAGGGCUUCCUUCUUCUCCUCUCAGAGUCAUGAACCUCUCCUGGGUCAUUCUGGGUAAGGAAUGUAAUCGAGGGGUUAAUCAGUGGAGGCAGGAGUGGGGAGGGCAGAGAGGGAGGAGGGGAGUGGAGGGGAGAGGACAGAGAGGAGGGGGGGACCUUCCAAGUGUCCAGGUGUCCAAUGAAGGGGCUGAUUUUCCGUGUCACCCUGACGGGGCUGAGGGCACCCCGAUAGCUGGUGCAACAGCCACUUCCGGGUGUGUGUGUGGUGUGCACAGAACACAUCAGCCUCUGAACUGGUGGACGGAGUAAGAUCACCGUCCCCGAGGUGGGGGGGGCUUCACCCAACCCAUCGAGGGCCUGGAUGGAGUGAAAAGGGGGGGCAAACUGUGUCUCCCUUGCUGAGCUGGGACGUCCCUGUCGUCCUGCUCCUCUGACCGUGGAGCUCAGGUCUCGGGCCCUUGGACUCGGGCUGACUGACCGCACGGGCUCCCCUGGCCUCCAGCGCCCCUGCCUCCAGCUCGCAGACGGAGGCCCCGGGCCUCAGGCCUCCACCCUGGCGAGCCGAUCCGGCAAUGCCGACCUCACACCGUCGGUAGAUGUCCUGUUGGUUCCGUUUCUCCGGAGAACCAGGGUCCUGACUUGAACAAAUCUGCUGGAGUAAAGGCAUCUGGAGCAGCGGGGCCCACGCGCGUGGACGGUGCCCGGGGCGAUGUUAUAACAUAAUUAGGGAAUGUGGAGGCGAAUUAAUGACGUGGUGGCUGUGAGAAAACAUCCUACUUCUCAGGGACACAACAGAAAUGUUUCAAAUGGAACAAGCUGAUGUCAAUCAUUUGCUUUAGUGUAAUUUGGGCAACGCAAGACUGACCUGAUGCCGAUGCAGUGAGCACGGGGGGAGGGCGCAAGUGCCGAGUCUGGGGGCGCACACAGGCCCACGCUUCAUCUCUCUGUUUCCGUGAAUGGUUGAAAAAUGCUAGAAACUCAGGAAUAUGUUUCGAGAUGGCUUUACUAGGAGGCAUGAAAGAUCAAGAGAGAAUCAACCCCGGUGAAGAGGGUUCAUCUGGGGGCUUAAGGGCGGGUCCAGAGAUAGGAGGGUCCGCCCUGGCGCCUCCUGGAGCAGAACCCACAGUUGGCUGGUGUGUGCUCCACACGCCCAGGGACAGCGGGCAGGCCACCUGGGUCUAGACACCUCCAGCUAAAACUGGCUGGAACAAUAAAGCCACCGAAGAAUUCCGCGUGAGGAGAAGC